GAUCUAAGUAUUCAUGCAUCUAGUCUGAAGUAGAUGUACUGUCAUUGCACCAGAGCAGUUUGAAAUUAUUUUCUUUUUUGUUGUUUUACAGAUUCAUGCUUUAAGAGGCCUCAGAGCGAAAAUCAGCACUCUGCUACAAACCACAUGACCAAGCAAGAUGAAACUCAACACAUUUCUCCUGUUCAAGUUGAAUCAGAGGAUGUCACAUAUUCUUUGGUGGAGCUUAAAAACACCACUCCAAGGAGUAAGUACUUUAUGUUGGAAACAUUUAGGGGUUUAGAUGUUUUUAAAGCGAGCAAUAUUUAAAGAAAAUAAAGAAAAUUGUGUUUUCUUUUUUUUUCUUUUUUUUGUUUGGUUUUUGACAUUUGUCUUAUCCUUCUGACAGAGAAGCCCAAGAUACCAGAGGAGAGUUGUGUUUACUCUGAUGUUAAAAUACGACCUUCCUCAGGAAAAUCAGAUCCUGCCACAGCCCAUGAAAUGGUUUAUUCUGGACUCAAACCGGGAAAAUAACUUGGUGACUGUACAGCAGUCACCAAGCCCCAGCAGAGAUUUUUCACUGUAAUUAUGUACUUUUAGACACAUUAGAAUGUAUUGUAAACAAAAUAAAUAUAUCUGCAAGUUACCA
ensembl:lncRNA